AACCCAGAACCCUAGCCCUCGCCCUAAAACCAAAAUCUCGUUGCAGUGUUUUCGCCUUUCCUCUCACACCAAUGGCCGACUCUGUAAUUUCGAUUCAGUACCUCAAAGAUUUCGUUAAUUCUCAAAUCUAUGACGAUGAGAAAUGGGCCUUCAAUGCGGGAGAGUGAGAUAAAGCAAUAGCUCCAAUGUAUUUACUAUUUUGAAAUUUUACAGUUCUAUGUAUGAAAAUAUGAGAUCCUUUCUAAACUUGAGAGCUAUUCUGUGUGUUUUCUUUUAAUGUGCGAAGGAAAAAAAAGGUUGAUUUUUUUUUUUUGUGUGUGAUAUGGGAGUGCCUUUAGCUUGCAAAAGGGAUGGGUUGUCAUUUCCCUCCCAUUUUAUUCAUCGUUGCAACAUGAUAGAUCCGUGACCGA